rnacentral:rRNA from 1 species
AGCCUGAACGCUGGCGGCGUGGCUAAGACAUGCAAGUCGCACGGAGGUAGCAAUACCUUAGUGGCGAACGGGUGAGUAAUGUAUCGCUAACGUACCCUUUAGUCCGGGAUAGCCAGGGGAAACUCUGGGUAAUACCGGUUGACAUCAUCGCUUCGCAUGGAGUGAUGCUCAAAGGAGCAAUCCGCUGAAGGAGCGGGCGAUAUCGUAUCAGCUGGUUGGUGAGGUAACGGCUCACCAAGGCGACGACGCGUAGCCGGACUGAGAGGUCGGUCGGCCACAUUGGGACUGAGACACUGCCCAGACUCCUACGGGGGCUGCAGUAACGAAUCUUCCGCAAUGCACGCAAGUGUGACGGAGCGACGCCGCGUGUGGGACGAAGUCCUUCGGGAUGUAAACCACUGUCAGGGGUUACCAAGUUCUGAGGAACCCCAGAGGAAGGCACGGCUAACUCUGCGCCAGCAGCCGCGGU